GGGGCGCCCUUCUCCCUGCCGCCGCCCUGAGGGAAAUGGCGGUGCCGGGGGAGAAGGGAAGGCAUUUCCCCAUAGUCCUCCCUGCCAUGAGAGGCCGAAGGAAGAGUAAAGCCGCAUGGCGCUUCUGGUGGGGGACGCGAUCCGUCAAAGCGCGAUGCUUGUCUUUGUGCCGAGGUUUCCCCUGGAACUGAAGAGCCGUAGAAGGGUCCUGCCGUGCAGAAUACGGACUCUUGUCUGUCCCUGUCAAACAGCGGAGUGGAUGUUGGAUGUUCCUGGCAAUUGCUGCAGGACAGAUAGAGGGACGCGGCAGGGGUGGCAGCUCAUUCGUCAGGUAACAGCGCGGUGGUAUCCCCAGCAUCCCGGCGGGACAUCAGUAUCCCCGCCUACCUCCCCUCCCCUCUCCUCCCGCUGUCCGCACCCAGCCGAGGCCUCCGGUCCGCCGGCAACCGCGCGCCGUCCGCGGGUUCAAUGGCUUCGCUGCCAGCGGCGCCUGCCUCAUGUGUACUUUGUAAUCGCCGGCGGUAGCGGCUUUGUCACGCCUUCCAGCUCCUCCCGCUUCCGAGCGGCUCCGUUUGGUUAGGUGCCGGCACGCUCACCGCGGGGGGCUAUCGGUCUAACGGGGGGCACAGCAAUGGUGCCGGGUGGGCCGCUGUUGUCCGCCGCAGCGCCCGCCCCGCGGCCUGUCAGCGGUUUCGCCGGCAGCGGCCUAUUGGCUGGCGCGCCCGAUAACGUGACGGCGGCGGCGGGGCGGGACCCGAGAAGUGCCGGUUGGAGCCGGUACCUCGCGCCGCGCUGCCGGCUCCCUCGCGGACGGAGCGAGCAAGCUAGCGGGCUGGUGAUCGCACCGCUCUGGGUGGGAGGGUGGGCAAGCUGUGCAAGCUGUGCGGCCAGGUAAGCGAGGGUCGGCCGCAGCGGACAGGUGCCCGCUCUCCGGCAUGAAGCGGUGGGCGGAACAGAGCGGAGCAGGGCUCUCCUGAGGGGAGAGUGCGGUUGGCCCUUAACGCCGCCGAGUAGACCGUCCCCGGUUUUCUUGCCUCGGUAAGGGGCCGGGGUGCUCUCUCCGCCUGCGGGAGGGAGNNNNNNNNNNNNNNNNNNNNGGUGG
rnacentral:lncRNA from 14 species